AACAGGGAUUGCCUUAGUAGCGGCGAGUGAAGCGGCAAGAGCUCAAAUUUGAAAUCUGGUACCUUCGGUAUCCGAGUUGUAAUUUGUAGAAAGCAAUCUUGGAUUUGGCCUUUGUCUAUGUUCCUUGGAACAGGACGUCAUAGAGGGUGAGAAUCCCGUGCGAUGAGGUGUCCAUUUCUUUAUAAGAUGUUUUCGAAGAGUCGAGUUGUUUGGGAAUGCAGCUCUAAGUGGGUGGUAAAUUCCAUCUAAAGCUAAAUAUUGGCGAGAGACCGAUAGCGAACAAGUACUGUGAAGGAAAGAUGAAAAGAACUUUGAAAAGAGAGUGAAAAAGUACGUGAAAUUGUUGAAAGGGAAGGGUAUUCGAUCAGACUUGGUAUUUAGUUAUCAUUUCCCCUUGUGGGUUGUGCUCUAACUUUUUACUGGGCCAGCAUCAGUUUUGGUGGCAAGACAAUCGCAGUUGAAUGUAGCUCCUCGGAGUGUUAUAGCUUCUGUAGAUAUUGCCUAUCGGGACUGAGGUCUGCGGCUUUGCCUAGGAUGCUGGCGUAAUGAUCUAAUACCGCCCGCUUGAAACA
rnacentral:rRNA from 1 species